rnacentral:rRNA from 1 species
CCCACUGCUAUCGGGAUAGGACUAAGACAUGCUAGUCGUGCGCUUCCAAGCCAAUAUGGGAGCGCGGCACACAGCUCAGUAACACGUGGCUAACCUGCCCUUGGGACGAAAACAUCCCCGGGAAACUGGGGCUAAUUUUCGAUAGGCGAAGAACUCUGGAAUGAGUCUUUACCUAAAAGACGCUGAAGUUACGCUCUUUAGCACCGCCCAAGGAUGGGGCCGCGACCGAUCAGGUUGUUGGUGAGGUAAUGGCUCACCAAGCCUUUUACCGGUGCGGGCCGUGGGAGCGGGAGCCCGGAGAUGGGCACUGAGACGAGGGCCCAGGCCCUACGGGGCGCAGCAGUCGCGAAAACUUUGCAAUAAGCGAAAGCUUGACAGGGCUAUCCCGAGUGCCAUCCGCUGAGGAAGGCUUUUACCCAGUCUAGAACGCUGGGGGAAUAAGGAGAGGGCAAGUCUGGUGUCAGCCGCCGCGGUAAUACCAGCUCUCCGAGUGGUGUGGAUGUUUAUUGGGCCUAAAGCAUCCGUAGCUGGCCAGGUUAGUCCCCUGUUAAAUCCACCGAAUUAAUCGUUGGAUUGCGGGGGAUACUGCUUGGCUAGGGGACGAGAGAGGCAGACGGUAUUUCCGGGGUAGGGGUGAAAUCCUAUAAUCCCGGGAAGACCACCAGUGGCGA